rnacentral:rRNA from 1 species
UACAGAGGUCUCAAGCGUUGUUCGGAUUCAUUGGGCGUAAAGGGUGCGUAGGCGGCGCGGUGAGUCGGGUGUGAAAUCUCGGGGCUUAACUCCGAAACUGCAUUCGAUACUGCCGUGCUUGAGGACUGGAGAGGAGACUGGAAUUUACGGUGUAGCGGUGAAAUGCGUAGAUAUCGUAAGGAAGACCAGUGGCGAAGGCGGGUCUCUGGACAGUUCCUGACGCUGAGGCACGAAGGCCAGGGGAGCAAACGGG